UCGUGGAGGGGUUCCUUCUCGCUAACCUCUUCGCCCGGAAGUGGCAACAAGACUGCCACACCCCUUCACGCCUAGUCUGCAACGAACUUUGUUUAACCCGGAGGCGGGGCCAGCCAGCUCCGCCCCUCCAGCUGGACGCGGGAGCGAGGUUGAGGUUCCUAUCCGUGGGUUCUCUCCAGGCCUGAGGCCGAGAGCCAGCCGCCUGCCUACCUCUGGGCUUUGAACGCCGGGUCUGGUGACUUCGCUUAAAGACCUCGGGCCAAAGGCCCGACAGGCUCAACCUCGGUUCACAGGACCCCCGACUUGUGUGAGUCGUACACCGCUCCUUACCGUCUCUGGACCUAGGUCAUCUCGGCAGUAAAAUGGGGUGAAAUGACCCGACCUCCCCGGAGGAUGCCGCGCACGAUGUGUGCCUCGAGUUGGCUUCCACUGACCUGAACUGUUAAGAAAGCCCUCCUCAGUGACGCCUUCCCUGAAUCCACAGUGGAGAUUGCCGUUUCCCUGGAACUAAUUCACCCACAUUUACCCAUUUCAUCCCUUUCCACCUUUUAUUUUUACCUUUCUGCCCCACUGAUCUCUAGAAUAGGUGCUGUGAGAAGUUAGAGUAUUUGAUCUCUCACUCUCCAAUCAUCCCACUUACCGAGCAGUGAUUCUCUGCCUGGCUGCACAUUGGAAUCACUUGGGGAGCCUCUAAAAAUGCUGAUGCCAGGGCUCUACCCCAAGCCAGUUAAAACCUCCAGCGCUGGACCUGGGCAUUGGUACUUUUUGUAAAGCUUUCAGUUUACCAAGAUGAUGCCAGUAUAGCUAGUGAGAUGCAGCACGCCAUCUUCAGCCCCCUUGCCUCUAGAAGAGACACCAGACUGCAAAGGGCACUGCGUACAGAAGCUAACGGAACUCGAAUGACAAGACAAAAAGAGCAGAACCAGUUAGUGUGACACAACAUUCUAACAUGCCUGAUUCUUACAUUGAAUAUGGUAACUUGGGGAUUGGUGGGGGGAAACAAAAAAGGAAAAUCCGCUUGGGAAUACUUUGAUGAAGUUUGCAAACCAGCACUUUACCCCCAAAUUAACAACAGCUUGUAUGGAAAAAAAAAUGCUCUUUUAAAAGUAUAUGGUUUGGACAAGUA